AUGGAAGUCUUGAAACUUAAAAUGUCUGCCUUCUGCUCUUCUGUAUCAAUUUUUCUCACCUAUAAAGGUUACAUUUUCUAUUUCCUUGGUUUGGAAAAAGAAGAAACUGCAGGAAAAGAAAAGGAGAAGGCAGCUAAGGCUCCUUCUGUAAACUAUGACAUUUCCCAGUGCUUGUCUAACAUCACUAGUUUGGUGGUACCCCGAGGAGCCUUUGUCUUUCAGUAUAAGGAUUUUUCUUUACCCAAGCCAGGAAAAUGAUGAAUGAUCAAAUGGAAGAGAACACAGGCUGACACUGGGAUGUGAUGGCUGCUGUUUGGAAAACCUCUUUGUCUCUCCAAAGUUUAGAUGUUUCUUAAUUACUUCCAAAAAGAGCUAUAAGGAGGCAUAGUGCACGUCUGCUGUGGAGAUGAGAAGGGAAAACAAAGUGUCCUCUGUCACACUGUUAUUGUCCUUGGAAGAUAAAGUUGGUGGAAUUAUGCUAAAAUGAGAACAUGAAGAACUGUAAAAUUGUAAUACAAAAACACAACAAAAACAAAAAAAACAGAACCACUGUCAUAUCUCCACUACUUCUAAAGCACCCAGGUGUCUCUUUUCUUUCUAUUUCUCAUUCUUGUCCUUUAUGACAAAUAUUUUGAAAUAGAAAAGGCAAAUUUGAUCUUAAAAUAUAUAGGCUGGGCAUCUGCAAUGUGCUCAGUGCUACAGUGAUUUCAUCUAUGUACAAUUCUGCUUGCGCACAUCCAAGAAAGUUGAGUCCUACAGAGUAAGAAAAGCUAGCAGGAUGAUUGGUCCUUUCUGAUGAAUCCAAGUUGCAAAAGGAAAGUAAAAGAGCUCUUUUAGUUUAUCUUGGGUAAUGAUUGAACUCUAUAUAGAUACAAUAUUUAUUGUUAUAGAGAUAUUAAGAGGGAAACAACCUCAUGAAGCUAAGAAGCAUAAAAGUAGAAGAUUUCUAGCCAUUAUGGAAAUGAAAUUUCUAGCCUUCCAGUAGGGACAGUGGGCCAAGACAGAGCUUAUCCCUCCUGAAUGGUGGAGACAGAGUGCAAAAUUUGAUUGCCCAUGGUAGCACACUACUUUACCCAAUAAGGGAGGACCAGGGAACACGCCUAGCUUUGCCACCACUGUUUAAUGAUCUCUUGACCAACCCCAUUUGAAGUGGUACAAAAUUGCUAUCUGUAUGUGUACAAUUACUAGGUUCCUAUUCACAGCCAGUGGAAGAAAUGGUAACAAGCAAGGAAAGCUGUACAAGGUCUCAGGGUCCGAU
rnacentral:lncRNA from 1 species